rnacentral:rRNA from 1 species
CGGCAGCGGGGGCUUCGGCCUGCCGGCGAGUGGCGAACGGGUGAGUAAUGCAUCGGAACGUGCCCAGUCAUGGGGGAUAACUACGCGAAAGCGUAGCUAAUACCGCAUACGCCCUGAGGGGGAAAGUGGGGGAUCUUCGGACCUCACGUGAUUGGAGCGGCCGAUGUCAGAUUAGCUAGUUGGUGAGGUAAAGGCUCACCAAGGCGACGAUCUGUAGCGGGUCUGAGAGGAUGAUCCGCCACACUGGGACUGAGACACGGCCCAGACUCCUACGGGAGGCAGCAGUGGGGAAUUUUGGACAAUGGGCGCAAGCCUGAUCCAGCCAUGCCGCGUGAGUGAAGAAGGCCUUCGGGUUGUAAAGCUCUUUCGCAAGGGAAGAAAACGUGUGGGCUAAUAUCCUGCGCGGAUGACGGUACCUUGACAAGAAGCACCGGCUAACUACGUGCCAGCAGCCGCGGUAAUACGUAGGGUGCGAGCGUUAAUCGGAAUUACU